UAUAAAUGAAACAAAAUAAUGAAAUUAGACAAUAGUUUGAUACUUGAGUGAUAUUUCUUGACUUUAUAAGGAGGUAGAUUUAAUCAUGUUUAAAGUUGGACAAAGCUUGUAAGUUUGCAUCACCUCUAAAAGAAGUGCCAAAAGAUCAUCUUUGAUUUCUUCAAAAAGAUCUUAGAAGAACUUGAUGGAAUUCCAUCUGCUCUUGCUACCAUUUCUUUAAAUAAAUUGAUAAUUGUAAUUCUCAAUCUUAUAUCAAAGGUUGUACUAUGAAUUUUUUAUUUUGUAAUAAUGUCAUUUUAACCAAAUGCUAAAAAAGAAAUUUAAUCUUAUCAUGUCAUUAGUUGACUUCCUUGUCUCAAAUAUAUAAACAAGUGUAAUAAUUAUUAACAAAAAUUUGAUU
rnacentral:lncRNA from 1 species